rnacentral:rRNA from 1 species
AACGAACGCUGGCGGCAUGCCUAACACAUGCAAGUCGAACGAGAUCUUCGGGUCUAGUGGCGCACGGGUGCGUAACGCGUGGGAAUCUGCCCUUUGGUUCGGAAUAACAGUUGGAAACGACUGCUAAUACCGGAUGACGACGAAAGUCCAAAGAUUUAUCGCCAGAGGAUGAGCCCGCGGAGGAUUAGCUAGUUGGUGUGGUAAAGGCGCACCAAGGCGACGAUCCUUAGCUGGUCUGAGAGGAUGAUCAGCCACACUGGGACUGAGACACGGCCCAGACUCCUACGGGAGGCAGCAGUGGGGAAUAUUGGACAAUGGGCGAAAGCCUGAUCCAGCAAUGCCGCGUGAGUGAUGAAGGCCUUAGGGUUGUAAAGCUCUUUUACCCGGGAUGAUAAUGACAGUACCGGGAGAAUAAGCUCCGGCUAACUCCGUGCCAGCCGCCGCAGUAA